rnacentral:rRNA from 1 species
GAUGAACGCUGGCGGCGUGCCUAAUACAUGCAAGUCGAGCGAACAGAUAAGGAGCUUGCUCCUUUGACGUUAGCGGCGGACGGGUGAGUAACACGUGGGUAACCUACCUAUAAGACUGGAAUAACUCCGGGAAACCGGGGCUAAUGCCGGAUAACAUUUAGAACCGCAUGGUUCUAAAGUGAAAGAUGGUUUUGCUAUCACUUAUAGAUGGACCCGCGCCGUAUUAGCUAGUUGGUAAGGUAACGGCUUACCAAGGCAACGAUACGUAGCCGACCUGAGAGGGUGAUCGGCCACACUGGAACUGAGACACGGUCCAGACUCCUACGGGAGGCAGCAGUAGGGAAUCUUCCGCAAUGGGCGAAAGCCUGACGGAGCAACGCCGCGUGAGUGAUGAAGGUCUUCGGAUCGUAAAACUCUGUUAUUAGGGAAGAACAAAUGUGUAAGUAACUGUGCACGUCUUGACGGUACCUAAUCAGAAAGCCACGGCUAACUACG